UUCCGGUUGAUCCCGCCGGACCUGACUGCUAUCGGAUUGAUACUAAGCCAUGNGAGUCAUUGUAGCAAUACAAGGCAGACGGCUCAGUAACACGUAGCCAACCUACCCUAUGGACGGGGAUAACCUCGGGAAACUGAGGAUAAACCCCGAUAGAUCAUUAUGCCUGGAACGGUUUAUGGUUGAAACGAUUCGUCGCCGUAGGAUGGGACUGCGGCCUAUCAGCUUGUUGGUGAGGUAAUGGCCCACCAAGGCUAUUACAGGUACGGGCUCUGAGAGGAGAGGCCCGGAGAUGGAUACUGAGACACGGACCCAGGCCCUAUGGGGCGCAGCAGGCGAGAAACCUUUGCAAUGUGCGCGAGCACGACAAGGUUAAUCCGAGUGUUUCCUGCUAAAGGAAUCUUUUGCUAGUCGUAAAACCACUAGAGAAUAAGGGGUGGGCAAGUUCUGGUGUCAGCCGCCGCGGUAAUACCAGCACCUCAAGUGGUCAGGAGGAUUAUUGGGCCUAAAGCAUCCGUAGCCUGCUCUGUAAGUUUCCGGUUAAAUCCAUUGGCUUAACUAAUGGGCUGCCGGAAAAACUGUAGAGCUAGGGAGUGGGAGAGGUAGACGGUACUCGGUAGGAAGGGGUAAAAUCCUUUGAUCUAUUGAUGACCACCUGUGGCGAAGGCGGUCUACCAGAACACGUCCGACGGUGAGGGAUGAAAGCUGGGGGAGCAAACCGGAUUAGAUACCCGGGUAGUCCCAGCUGUAAACGAUGCAGACUCGGUGA
rnacentral:rRNA from 1 species